rnacentral:misc_RNA from 1 species
AACGUGACUACAUGCAGCAUGCGUCAUACUUCCUGUACCAUCUAGCCAACAGCAAGAACUAAGGCUCUAAAUCUUUGCACGUUCAAAACUAAUGCCUUUUAUCCCCUAGUCCCCGUAACAGCAGUUUUACGUACCUACCUAAUCCAGACCAGAAUGCAAUAUCUACACGUAUUAACCCAUAAAAAUUCAUAUGCAAUCACACAUGCGCAUAUGUAUGUAUAGAUAAAGAAGG